rnacentral:rRNA from 1 species
AAUUAACGCUGGCAGAGUGCAUAACACAUGCAAGUCGAGCGGGACUACCUGAGAUUACAUCAACUGGUAGUCUAGCGGCAGACGAGUGAGUAACACGUAAGUAACCUGCCCUUGAAUGGCGAACAACCAGCCGAAAGGUUGGCUAAUACGCCGUACUCUCCCCGGAAGGCAUCUUCUGGGGAGGAUAGGCCCGCAAGGGUCGUUCAAGGAGGGGCUUGCGGCCCAUCAGCUAGUUGGCGGGGUUACGGCCCACCAAGGCAAUGACGGGUA